GCGUCCAUAGCUCAAUGGUGAGAGCAGCCGUCUUAUAAGCGGCAGGUUGAAGGUUCGAAUCCUUCUGGACGCA
rnacentral:tRNA from 1 species